rnacentral:rRNA from 1 species
GAGGGGCAUCGGGGCGAGGAGCAAUCCUUGCCGCCGGCGACCGGCGCACGGGUGAGUAACGCGUAUGCGACCUGCCCGUUGCAGGGGGAUAAUCGGGAGAAAUCCCGUCUAAUACCGCGUAACGCCGCGGGGCUGCAUGGCCCUGCGGCCAAAGGGAGCGAUUCCGGCAACGGAUGGGCAUGCGUGACAUUAGCUAGUUGGCGGGGCAACGGCCCACCAAGGCGACGAUGUCUAGGGGUUCUGAGAGGAAGGUCCCCCACACUGGUACUGAGACACGGACCAGACUCCUACGGGAGGCAGCAGUGAGGAAUAUUGGUCAAUGGGCGCGAGCCUGAACCAGCCAAGUCGCGUGAGGGAUGACGGCCCUACGGGUUGUAAACCUCUUUUGUCGGGGAGCAAAUUCCGUUACGUGUAACGGAGUCGAGAGUACCCGAAGAAAAAGCAUCGGCUAACUCCGUGCCAGCAGCCGCGGUAAUACGGAGGAUGCGAGCGUUAUCCGGAUUUAUUGGGUUUAAAGGGUGCGUAGGCGGACUGUCAAGUCAGCGGUAAAAUACGGGGGCUCAACCUCCGCCCGCCGUUGAAGCUGACGGUCUUGAGUGGGCGAGAAGUAUGCGGAAUGCGUGGUGUAGCGGUGAAAUGCAUAGAUAUCACGCAGAACUCCGAUUGCGAAGGCAGCAUACCGGCGCCCAACUGACGCUGAAGCACGAAAGCGUGGGUAUCGAACAGGAUUAGAUACCCUGGUAGUCCACGCAGUAAACGAUGAAUACUAGCUGUCCGGGGCGAAUGAGCCCUGGGUGGCACAGCGAAAGCGUUAAGUAUUCCACCUGGGGAGUACGCCGGCAACGGUGAAACUCAAAGGAAUUGACGGGGGCCCGCACAAGCGGAGGAACAUGUGGUUUAAUUCGAUGAUACGCGAGGAACCUUACCCGGGCUCAAACGACACAGGAACGUACCUGAAAGGGUUCGGCUCUACGGAGCCUGUGUCGAGGUGCUGCAUGGUUGUCGUCAGCUCGUGCCGUGAGGUGUCGGCUUAAGUGCCAUAACGAGCGCAACCCCCAUCGACAGUUGCUAACAGGUCAGGCUGAGGACUCUGUCGAGACUGCCGGCGCAAGCUGCGAGGAAGGCGGGGAUGACGUCAAAUCAGCACGGCCCUUACGUCCGGGGCGACACACGUGUUACAAUGGCAGGUACAGCGGGAAGCCACCUGGCGACAGGGAGCGGAACCCGAAAGCCUGUCUCAGUUCGGAUUGGAGUCUGCAACCCGACUCCAUGAAGCUGGAUUCGCUAGUAAUCGCGCAUCAGCCACGGCGCGGUGAAUACGUUCCCGGGC